GAGCCUGCCAGAUGAAAAGAAUACUGCUAAUAUUCUUUGCUACGGUUUAAUUCCGUAGCUUGCUCG
rnacentral:tRNA from 1 species